CGUAACAAGGUUCCGUAGGUGAACCUGCGGAAGGAUCAUUACCUAGAGUUUGUAGACUUCGGUCUGCUACCUCUUACCCAUGUCUUUUGAGUACCUUCGUUUCCUCGGCGGGUCCGCCCGCCGAUUGGACAACAUUCAAACCCUUUGCAGUUGCAAUCAGCGUCUGAAAAAACAUAAUAGUUACAACUUUCAACAACGGAUCUCUUGGUUCUGGCAUCGAUGAAGAACGCAGCGAAAUGCGAUAAGUAGUGUGAAUUGCAGAAUUCAGUGAAUCAUCGAAUCUUUGAACGCACAUUGCGCCCCUUGGUAUUCCAUGGGGCAUGCCUGUUCGAGCGUCAUUUGUACCUUCAAGCUCUGCUUGGUGUUGGGUGUUUGUCUCGCCUCUGCGUGUAGACUCGCCUUAAAACAAUUGGCAGCCGGCGUAUUGAUUUCGGAGCGCAGUACAUCUCGCGCUUUGCACUCAUAACGACGACGUCCAAAAGUACAUUUUUACACUCUUGACCUCGGAUCAGGUAGGGAUACCCGCUGAACUUAANCAUAUCA
rnacentral:rRNA from 1 species